rnacentral:rRNA from 1 species
AGUACUGUAAAGGAAAUAAUGUAUAAAAUUAGAAUAAGAAAUAAUAGUACCUUUAGCAUAAGGGAUAUUUAAAAAAAUUUUUUUAAAAAAAUUUCCCAAAAAAAAAUGAGUUUUUAAGUUUAAAUUAAUAUAUGUAGAAUAAUAUAUUAAUAAAAUUUAAAAGAGGUUAAAUUUGAAUCAUAUUUUUUAUAUUUGGUUAUAAAGAUAUUUUUAUAGAAAAAUCAAAUAGUUAUUAAUAUAUUUAUUUAAUCAUUUGAUUAAAAUAUUAGAGAUAAGUUUAAUAUUGUUUUAUAUAAAUAUUAUUAAAUUUUUUUGUUAAGGGGUGAAAUUUUUUGAGUAAUGUGAUAAUUAAAUAUAAUUAUUGAAUAAAUUAUUAGAUUAUUUAUAUGAAAGUAAUAAUAUAGUUAUUUUAUAAAUAUGAAUGUAUUAGUAUGUAUAGAAAAUUUAUUAUUAUGAAUUCGGCAAAAAUAAUUUUCAACUGUUUAACAAAAACAUUUUUAUUAGAAUUAAUUAAUAAUAAAUUCUGCUCAAUGAUAUUAUUAUUAAAUUGCUAUGGUAUACUGACCAUACAAAGGUAUUGAAAUAAGUCUUUAAUUGAGAGCUAAGAGAAUGGAGUAAUGAAAAUUAACUUUAUUAUGAUAAUAAAUAGAAUUUUACUUUUAUAUGAAAAGGUAUAAAUAAAAACAUGGGACAAGAAGACCCUAUGAAUUUUUAUUAUUAGUUAUGAUUAAUAUUAAUAAUUAAUAAUUUGAUUGGGGCGAUAGAAAAAUAUUAAAAAACUUUAUUUUAGAGAAAAUAAUUUUUAGGUAUUAAAAAAUACUCUAGGGAUAACAGCGUUAUUAUUUUGGAGAGUACUAAUCGGUAAAAUAGUUUGCGACCUCGAUGUUGAAUUGAUAUAUCUAUUAGGUGGAGAAAUUUAAUAAGAGAGAUUGUUCAUCUUAUAAAGUAUCACAUGAUUUGAGUUCAGACCGGCGUAAGCCAGGUUGGUUUCUAUCUAUGAAAAAAAUUAUAAUAUUUAGUACGAAAGGAAUAAUUUUAUUUUAAUUU